rnacentral:rRNA from 1 species
UACAGAGGGUGCAAGCGUUAAUCGGAAUUACUGGGCGUAAAGGGUGCGUAGGUGGUUUGUUAAGUCAGGUGUGAAAGCCCGGGGCUCAACCUCGGAAUUGCAUUUGAUACUGGCGAACUAGAGUGUGGUAGAGGGUAGUGGAAUUCCAGGUGUAGCGGUGAAAUGCGUAGAGAUCUGGAGGAACACCAGUGGCGAAGGCGGCUACCUGGACCAACACUGACAAUGAGGCACGAAAGAGUGGGUAGCAAACAGG